rnacentral:rRNA from 1 species
GACGAACGCUGGCGGCGCGCUUAACACAUGCAAGUCGAGCGAGAACCAGGCUUCGGCCUGGGGAAAGCGGCGAACGGGUGAGUAACACGUGGGUAACCCACCCCUGGUACCGGGAUAGCCCGAGGAAACUCGGAUUAAUACCGGAUGGCCCAACAGCCCUUCGGGGCGAUUGGAAAAGGUAGCUUCAGCCUCCGACCAGGGACGGGCCCGCGGCGGAUUAGCUUGUUGGUGGGGUAACGGCCCACCAAGGCGACGAUCCGUAGCUGGUCUGAGAGGACGAUCAGCCACACUGGGACUGAGACACGGCCCAGACUCCUACGGGAGGCAGCAGUGGGGAAUCUUGCGCAAUGGGCGAAAGCCUGACGCAGCGACGCCGCGUGGGGGAAGAAGGCUUUCGGGUUGUAAACCCCUUUCAGGAGGGACGAAGCCACUCGGGUGAAUAGCCCAGAGGGUGACGGUACCUCCAGAAGAAGCCCCGGCUAACUACGUGCCAGCCGCCGCAGUAAGAC